rnacentral:pre_miRNA from 1 species
UCUCAUGCGUGGGCAAUGAAAGUGGUUUCCUGAGAAGGAACAGGAAUCUACUCCUGGUGAAGAUGCUGUGAA